AAGUCGUAACAAGGUUUCCGUAGGUGAACCUGCGGAAGGAUCAUUAACAAAUCCUGUUCAUUCUUGCAUUGCUGUAGAAAGGUGACUGGAUUCACUCCAUUUCACUCCUCCACAUCCAAUGCAAGGGUAACACAAGUUCCAUGUUGCAUUGUUUACAACUGCACAUGACAUUUCUGCAAAUUAUCUGAUCACAUCAUUACAAAACAAACAAACAACUUUUAACAAUGGAUCUCUAGGCUCUU
rnacentral:misc_RNA from 1 species